rnacentral:pre_miRNA from 7 species
GCUUGAGAGACAUACUUCUUUAUAUGCCCAUAUGAACCUGGCAAUCUAUGGAAUGUAAAGAAGUAUGUAUUUCAGGU